AGAAGGUGCUGUGAUUGUGGUCACCUC
rnacentral:piRNA from 1 species